UCUCAGAUCCACGAGAUGAGAUUGGCCAAUUCAGGACAAGUACUCCGACGAGAUUGGACGACGCAAACGAGUUCUCCGGCGAGAUUUGACGACGUUGACGAGUUCUUUAGCUAGUUCUAAUGCGAGAUUUGACGAGGACUACAACCUCAAAUGGUUUUUCGAAUCUAUCACAGUCGUCGAUCAAUCCGUUGAUGAGCUAUGCCGUUUAGUAUCAGACUCCGUUCUGGACCUCUCCCUCGGUUUGCUCGAACUCCAAUCCACACUCGAUGGAUGCGACUCUAAAUUGGUUCCAGUCUUUGUGAAAGGCUUAGGGGUUUUGAUUCGUAUCGGUUACGAACAGAAACAUGGGGAUUGGAAUUUCAAUUCGAUCGAGAAUCAUCCGUUUGUGAGGAUUCUUUCGUGCAGAGUGGAGACGCAGACGGAGCUUCUUCACCAAGUAUCACUCUUUGUGAAUUUCUGGAGCCGUUCGUGAAUUUUGUAAUAUUAUGUAUCCCAUUUGCAGAUUCAUCCCUGUCUUUGUUUGUGAGGGAGCUAGUCUCAUCAAUGGCUUCCCUUUGUUGCUUCAUGCCGUCAUGAAGAACUGCCGGUAUUCAGAUUGCUUAUGCGGUGUCUUAAGUAUGUCCCAGGGAAGAACUCAGAAGACAAUAGAAAUUUCAGCUGCAUUGUCAAGACACUAGUGGACAUCUCUCAAUGCUCAAUUAUGCCUUUUUAAAAGGCCUUAUAAAAGAAACUGCAAAAGAAUGAUGUUCUUUAACAAGCAAAGAAAUGGUGGAAAGUUGGUUAAUUUGGUGAUUUAUAAUCACCAAAUUCGGAGGUAGUAAAUGAUACUGGUGCAAUCCGUAAAUCAGUUAAGAGAUGGAGACCGCCAGGUGUGGAUUGCUUGAAAUGCAAUGUAGGAGUAGCCUGGUCCAAGGACAAAAUGCGGGCGGGUACUUCUUGGGUAGUGAGGAACUGUCGGGGUGAGGUCUUGAUGCACAGUAAAAGGGCUUUUAGUAGGAUCACCUCCCUUUUGAAAGCUAAGCACCUUGGUUUGUUGUGGGCGAUGGAAAGCAUGGCAUCACAUAAACUGCAAAAUGUGGUUUUGGAAGGGGAGGCACCCGAACUGGUAGAAGCGGUGAUGUGUCCGUUGGUGUGACCUUCAUUUGAGCUAGCAGAGGCGUUGACAAAGUUUAAGGACUGGAAGUUGGAAGGAGUGGUGUGAGAGGCCAAUGUACCGGCUUUUAAAAUUGCAAGAAGUGUGACUAUGGAGAAUCAUAUGCAAUCCUAUGUGGCACAUGAUGACCCCGUGUGGCUUUGAAGUCUAUUUGAUUAAGAAAGGAAGAAGCUUCAGUUAAGUUGAGUUAUGGGAUAAGGAAGUCGAAUUUUAAGUCUAUGUGUUUGGUUGGGGUUUUGGACACAUGAGUUUUAGGCUCUGUGUUUUUUUCUUUUUUGGUGUCUCUAUUUUUGCUUUGGCUGUUUGGUCUUUGGACGUUGCUUGUUGCUUACGUUGGUGAGCUUUGGGGGCGAAACUUUGUAUGGUUCUUUUUGUUACGUCCUUAUGCAAACUCAAGA